GCAGGUGUCAUUUAAGUGGUAGAGUACUUGCCUAGCAAGUGUGAAGUUCUGAGUUCAAACCUCAGUACUGGCA
rnacentral:tRNA from 1 species